rnacentral:rRNA from 1 species
AUUGAACGCUGGCGGCAGGCCUAAUACAUGCAAGUCGAACGGAAACAGGAAGCAGCUUGCUGCUUGGCGGACGAGGGGGGGGCGGGAGUGAAAUGUCGGUGAAACAGCUCUAUGGAGGGGGUUAACUAGUGGAAACGGUAGCUAUAACGGCAUAACUUUUCAAGAGCAAGGAGCGGUAGUGUAAGGCGUCUUGGCAGCGGCUUUUCCCUGGUGGGAUUAGCUAGUAGGUAGGGUAACGGCUAACCUAGGCGACGAUCCGUAGCUGGUCUGAGAGGAUGACCAGCCACACUGGAACUGAGACACGGUCCAGACUCCUACGGGAGGCAGCAGUAGGGAAUAUUGCGCAAUGGGCGAAAGCCUGAUGCAGCAAUGCCGCGUGUAUGAAGAAGGCCUUCGGGUUGUAAAGUACUUUCAGCGGGGAGGAAGGAAGUAAAGUUAAUACCUUUGCUCAUUGACGUUACCCGCAGAAGAAGCACCGGCUAACUACGUG